rnacentral:rRNA from 1 species
UACGAAGGGGGCUAGCGUUGCUCGGAAUCACUGGGCGUAAAGGGUGCGUUGGCGGGUCUUUAAGUCAGGGGUGAAAUCCUGGAGCUCAACUCCAGAACUGCCUUUGAUACUGAAGAUCUUGAGUUCGGGAGAGGUGAGUGGAACUGCGAGUGUAGAGGUGAAAUUCGUAGAUAUUCGCAAGAACACCAGUGGCGAAGGCGGCUCACUGGCCCGAUACUGACGCUGAGGAGCGAAAGCGUGGGGAGCGAACAGG